rnacentral:rRNA from 1 species
CCCAGACUCCUACGGGAGGCAGCAGUGGGGAAUAUUGCACAAUGGGGGGAACCCUGAUGCAGCGACGCCGCGUGGGUGAAGGAGCACCUCGGUGCGUAAAGCCCUAUCGGCAGGGAAGAAACAGACGGUACCUGACUAAGAAGCCCCGGCUAACUACGUGCCAGCAGCCGCGGGAAUACGGAGGGGGCAAGCGUUAUCCGGAUUCACUGGGUGUAAAGGGAGCGUAGACGGCGACGCAAGUCUGGAGUGAAAGCCCGGGGCCCAACCGCGGAACUGCAUUUGAAACUGUUUUUCUUGAGUACCGGAGAGGUCAUCGGAAUUCCUUGUGUAGCGGUGAAAUGCGUAGAUAUAAGGAAGAACACCAGUGGCGAAGGCGGAUGACUGGACGGCAACUGACGGUGAGGCGCGAAAGCGUGGGGAGCAAACAGGAUUAGAUACCCCAGUAAUA